rnacentral:rRNA from 1 species
GACGAACGCUGGCGGCGUGCCUAAUACAUGCAAGUAGAACGCUGAAGGAGGAGCUUGCUUCUCCGGAUGAGUUGCGAACGGGUGAGUAACGCGUAGGUAACCUGCCUGGUAGCGGGGGAUAACUAUUGGAAACGAUAGCUAAUACCGCAUAACAGUAGAUGUUGCAUGACAUUUGCUUAAAAGGUGCAAUUGCAUCACUACCAGAUGGACCUGCGUUGUAUUAGCUAGUUGGUGAGGUAACGGCUCACCAAGGCGACGAUACAUAGCCGACCUGAGAGGGUGAUCGGCCACACUGGGACUGAGACACGGCCCAGACUCCUACGGGAGGCAGCAGUAGGGAAUCUUCGGCAAUGGACGGAAGGCUGACCGAGCAACGCCGCGUGAGUGAAGAAGGUUGUCGGAUCGUAAAGCUCGGUUGUAAGAGAAGAACGAGUGUGAGAGUGGAAAGUUCACACUGUGACGGUAUCUUACCAGAAAGGGACGGCUAACUACGUG